UUAACGAUGGAAAAUAAGUCCGUGUAAAGGUACGACUCAAUUAAGAAAUCAUAUCCUAGGAUACGAGUGGUACUCUAACUCAUACCCUAGGAUUCUCCUAGGUCAUCCACACUGAUUAGGGUAUGACUACCCACCAUUGAGACAUAACCAAAGUGUACAACUCAUGCCUCAAUCAAGUAAGGACCAACAUACCGGGGACUAAGCUUUCCUUUUUUACCAAAUCGCAUCACUACC
rnacentral:lncRNA from 1 species